rnacentral:rRNA from 1 species
AAUACGUAGGGCGCAAGUGUUGUCCGGAAUUAUUGGGCGUAAAGAGCUCGUAGGCGGCUUGUCACGUCGGGUGUGAAAGCCCGGGGCUUAACCCUGGGUCUGCAUUCGAUACGGGCUAGCUAGAGUGUGGUAGGGGAGAUCGGAAUUCCUGGUGUAGCGGUGAAAUGCGCAGAUAUCAGGAGGAACACCGGUGGCGAAGGCGGAUCUCUGGGCCAUUACUGACGCUGAGGAGCGAAAGCGUGGGGAGCGAACAGGAUUAGAUACCCUGGUAGUCCACGCCGUAAACGGUGGGAACUAGGUGUUGGCGACAUUCCACGUCGUCGGUGCCGCAGCUAACGCAUUAAGUUCCCCGCCUGGGGAGUACGGCCGCAAGGCUAAAACUCAAAGGAAUUGACGGGGGCCCGCACAAGCAGCGGAGCAUGUGGCUUAAUUCGACGCAACGCGAAGAACCUUACCAAGGCUUGACAUACACCGGAAACGUCUGGAGACAGGCGCCCCCUUGUGGUCGGUGUACAGGUGGUGCAUGGCUG